rnacentral:rRNA from 1 species
UACGGAGGGUGCGAGCGUUGUCCGGAAUUAUUGGGCGUAAAGAGCUCGUAGGCGGUUUGUCGCGUCGGGAGUGAAAACUCAGGGCUUAACCCUGAGCCUGCUUCCGAUACGGGCAGACUAGAGGUAUGCAGGGGAGAACGGAAUUCCUGGUGUAGCGGUGAAAUGCGCAGAUAUCAGGAGGAACACCGGUGGCGAAGGCGGUUCUCUGGGCAUUACCUGACGCUGAGGAGCGAAAGUGUGGGGAGCGAACAGG